GUUGAGACUGUUGGUCUUGCUAUGGGGUGGCCCUCCUCCUCAGCUUCUUCCAACAUUUCUCUACUUCAACCACAGGGCUCCCUGACUUCAGUUGGGUAUGGUGCUGCAGGAGAACUAAGGAUUACACUGGAAAUUCUACAUAUCUCAGAAGCAACAGCAACAUUCCUUGGACCUUGAUAUGAAUAGAGAAAUGUGAAGAUGUACCACUCUCAUCUCCCAAGAAAUAUAUCGAUGCAUAACAACAAGUGAUGGCCCACAGCUUUAACUCUCAUUCAGCAGCAAUAAGGAGAUAGCAUCCUUGGACAUAAGUAAAAGUCAAAUGGGGAUCCAGGAUGUUUACAUGCACGUGGCAAGAACAAAGUGCCAUAACUUCCUUUCCAUAUCAGAGUGGAGCCAAUGGAAGGCAGCUAAAAUAGAAAUUUAACAUCUAGAGUCUCAUGUC
rnacentral:lncRNA from 1 species